UGGGAUUUCGAGAACUGACACUGGUAGUCAGUAUUGUGGGUAAAGAAUUGGCACUGGUAGCCAUAUUGUGGGAUUUCGAGAACUGACACUGGUAGUCAGUAUUGUGGGAAGAGAAUUGGUACGAGUAGCCAUAUUGUGGGUAAUUUCGAGAAUUGGCAUUGGUAGUCAUAUUGUGGGUAAUUUCGAGAAUUGGCAUUGGUAGCCAUAUUGUGGGUAAUUUCGAGAAUUGACAUUGGUAGCCAUAUUGUUGUGGGUGUAUUCGAGAUCGGUUCUUACAGUGCAGUAAGAAUUCGAUAACAAAUAUAUGAGCUGUUUUAUCCUGGGACAGCGUGGUUGAUAGUCUGCUUGCACAUUUUGGGCAGUGCCACGAAACGUCUUAAAGAAAGCGACCUGAUCGUUACUCAACCAGUAAGUAUUAUUUCGUGCCAUUUAGAAUUGCUGCAAGCUACGGUAACAAUAACUAUCAUACUCCACCAUAAGGAGUAUACCCACAACACACACCUUACAUCAAUGCUAACUAAUGUUUGUGUCACAUAUUUGCAUCCAACUCGAUGCCCAUGUCACACUUUUGCAUCUCUACCAAUGCUCAUGUUACACCUUGCAUCAAAGCCAAUGCCCAUGCUACACCGUACAUCAAAGUUAGACAACACCUCUGUGCUUUUACGGAUCUGCUAACAAUUAAUAUCAAUCACUAUGACAUGCUAGACAUGUCAUUGGGAUAUUUCACUUCUCAUCUCAAAUGAUAAUAUUCUCUCAACAUCUAGAGAGAUAUUGUCAGCAUCUGUCUCUGGGUCAAACUCAACACAUGAGUCCCUAUUUCCACAUUCAUCCUAAUCCAAUACAUGAAUUUCUGGGAUUCUGGAUCAACAUAUAUCGCCCCCAUAACAGUUUCGCUAUGUUUUCUUCUCCUUCAACUUAUCUACUCUAUCUUUGUCACUACCUUUCACACACCUUGUCUAGCCAUUACAUUUUCCCCUUCUUUAGCAAUUAUCUGUUGUCUGGGUUACGAGUCAUAGUCAUCUAUCAAUUGGCUAUGAUAUCAAUUGUUGGUGCAACAAAAACGAUUGUUAUGCAGCAUUGGCCAGAAGCAAUCAAAUAAAGUGCAUAGAAUAAAUAGAAGAGAAGAAACAAGAGAAUUUGGUAACAGAGUUCAGCCAAUUGUGCCUACAUCCCCGAGAAUACUGAGCGGC
rnacentral:lncRNA from 1 species